GGCUGUCAAAUGCUUCCGGGAGCCUCUCCCCAGGGAAACACUGGACCACUAUCAGUGGAUCUGCUGCAGUAUGCUGGGCGUCUGCUUCAGUUCCAAAUCACCUCAGAUUUUCCAGUAUCAAAGCUAUCAACAGUAAAAGCUGUAAAACAGCAAAGAUAGUGGUCUGCCCUUCCCUUUGAGAGCUUUGUCCCAGGGAGGUACAAACCUGCUGCCCACUCAAAUGCACCUGCAGGCGGUGGCUGGAGACCCUGGUCAGAAGAUCCUCCCCUGUGAAGAGGAAUGAGAUUUUGGACUCACAGAAGAAAGAAGUCUUGCCACUUUUUUCUUUGAGAAACUGUGCUGGGGGUCUGCUCCAGCCCCUAGUCACCCCGGACUCUCCAAAACCGGAAAACAAGAAUGACUAAGGCAGCCAAACACCACAGAUGGCAACCUGCCCCUUUCUCUGGAAGCUCCAUCCUCAGGGAGGUUUGGAGCCACUGCUGACUGAAAAACAUCAUUUGGGGUACCUGGAGACCCACCCAGUGAGAAGGAAUGGGAUUAGGGGCCCGCUUAAAAAAGCAUUCUGACCACGUUUUUUUAGAGAAGCUGUGUUGUGCUGGAGGUCUGCUCCAGCCCCCAUUUACCUCUCACUUGCCAAAGCCCUAAGGCAAGAAUGACUAAGGAGGCCAAAGGGCAAGGUUGCCUGGGCCACCCCUUCCACAGAGAGCUCCAUCCAAGGGACGUCUGAAACUGGAAACCACCAUCAGGGGUAACUGGAGACCCUGGUUGGGAGAUUGCACAGUGAAGAAAAAGGGGAUUCCUGAUUCACAUGAAUAAGCAAUCUGACCACUUAUCUGUAGAGCUGCUGGGCUGCACUGAGGGACUGCUCCAGUCCCUAGUUGCCUCGAACUCCCUACAACCCUAAGGAAACAGGGGCUAGGCCUGUGAGAGAGCAAAGAUAGUGACUCGCUCCUCCCCCUGGGAGCUUCCUCUCAGUGAGAACCAAUGCUGUUACAGGAGUUCCCAGCGAGUCUUAUCCUGUGAGGUGCCAUGGAAGCAGGUCCUGCAGACCGUUGUUGCUCAGCCCCUUUCCCAGGAGUAUGUAUGGAGGUCUAACCUUCCACUUUGCUGGAGUUGCAGCCACUUUUGCUGGGAAGCCCGGGUUUCUAAGUUUCCUGGGGCUCCAUGUGUGCCCGAGCAGCUGCUCUGACGAGACUCCACAGAGCUCUGAACGUCAGUCGGAAGGCCCUGGUGGAGUGGGUUCACUGGGGGAUCUUCUGACCCCAGGCUUGCAAAGAUGCAUGGGAGAAGCAUAGGUUCCCGAGGUCACUCACUCAUUCACUGCUUCCCUGAGCUGGGGAGGGUCCCCUGCCUCUGUGUCACUCCCUUAUCACAUCUAGUGAUUUCCUACACUAGAUGUACAUACACUGUAUGUACAUACACAAUUUACAUACAGUGAAAUACACAAAUCUUAAUAUGCAGUUCAAUUAAUUUUGACAAAUCCACACCUCUGUGUAAACGAUGCCCAAUUAAGACAUUAAAUUUUGCCAUCUCCUCUGUAAUUUUGUUCAUGCCUUUUCCCAUGGAUUACGCUCAUGUAAGUUAAGGUCUGUAAAUUUUCUUUAAUCUUUUUAGAUGCAGUUCCCUUGUGAAAUUAUUCAACUUUUUCUCUAUACUGUCCUUAUUUUUUUAUAUUUUCUUUAAUAGAUUAUUAUUAAAGCACUUGUCUGCUAGUCCCUAUAACUGAAUCAUUGUAUCUAUUUAACAUAUUUGUUUAUUUUUAUUUGCACCUGUUUUCUGUCACAUCUACUAAUUAUUAAGUGACUGCCAGAUGUUGUAUACAAGAAAAUAUUGCAGAGGCUUCAGAUGAUUUUUUAUUUUACCAGAGAAUGUCUAUCUUUUACUCUGCUAAGCAGACAGACACUGAUUCCCUUAAUUCAAUUAAAGGUAGAGCUGAUUUGAGACUGACUUCCAGUUUUGGUAAGGCUCAACUUACUGCUGCUUGAAUUCAUUCCAAGAAUAUAUCUCCCAAGCCUUCUAACUGAAAUCCUGAUGGGUUCACUGAGGCCCAUUAUUCUGGCGGGUCUUAAACCUAAAUCCUUGUUUUUACAGCAUUGCAAGAUUGCCAAAAGCUCAGCUCUUUAUUUUUAUUUUUUCCAUUGUGUCCGUUUACUUUUCACCCUUUCUACUUCGUGUGGAUUUAGAAUUCUGCAAAGGUCUUCUAGAAAAGAAAUGUCCAUGAGUUUGAGACCUUCAGAGUACCAAUUUAUAUUCAUCCUCAUUAGGUUUCUAAUAUUUGAUUUAGUCUCUAUCCUCCAGAAGCUAUUCAUUGCUUGUCAAAGCUAGGAUUCUCAGCCUGUUUCAUUUUGUUCAGAAUUUGCAAAUUCCUCUAGCAAAUAAUUACAGAUACCAGCUUAUUGCUCACAUUUCUCCGUCAUCCCAAAUCUUGUUCUCUCUGGUCCUCAUGACGUUGCUGCUCUUAAAAAACGUGUUUUGUAUUAUAUCUUGAGGAAUGCUGGUCUGCUACAAAGAAAUAUGUCCCAUGCUCUUCAGUCAAAAAUUUAAAGUCCAGAUGUAAAAAUAAACCAUUGUUAUUACACACACAUAAAAAUCACAGAGAAGUAUGGCAGACUGAGGACAGAGUUCUGAUUGGCAGAAUAAAUACUUGAAAAUAGCUUUCUGAGAGAAAUAAAUUGUGAGUAUAAAAUUGUAUAUGGACUUAAUUUUUGUUUGAAGAUAUAUGAAAAUAAAUUUUAAUGUGUGAAAAUGCAGAAAAA
rnacentral:lncRNA from 1 species